rnacentral:rRNA from 1 species
GACGAACGCUGGCGGCGUGCUUAACACAUGCAAGUCGAACGGAAAGGCCCUGCUUUUGUGGGGUGCUCGAGUGGCGAACGGGUGAGUAACACGUGAGUAACCUGCCCUUGACUUUGGUAUAACUUCAGGAAACUGGGGCUAAUACCGGAUAGGAGCUCCUGCUGCAUGGUGGGGGUUGGAAAGUUUCGGCGGUUGGGGAUGGACUCGCGGCUUAUCAGCUUGUUGGUGGGGUAGUGGCUUACCAAGGCUUUGACGGGUAGCCGGCCUGAGAGGGUGACCGGCCACAUUGGGACUGAGAUACGGCCCAGACUCCUACGGGAGGCAGCAGUGGGGAAUAUUGCACAAUGGGCGGAAGCCUGAUGUAGCAACGCCGCGUGCGGGAUGACGGCCUUCGGGUUGUAAACCGCUUUCGCCUGUGACGAAGCGUGAGUGACGGUAAUGGGUAAAGAAGCACCGGCUAACUACGUG